UCGGACAUGGUGUAUGGCGCACCCCCGCUUUCAUUUAAUCGGUAAGAGAAUUCUUGUGCAGCGGGAAACUCGGGUUCGACUCCCGGCGUCCGAC